rnacentral:rRNA from 1 species
UACAGAGGUGGCAAGCGUUGUUCGGAAUUACUGGGCGUAAAGGGCGCGUAGGCGGCCUUCUAAGUCAGACGUGAAAUCCCCCGGCUUAACCUGGGAACUGCAUCCGAUACUGGAUGGCUUGAAUUCGGGAGAGGGAUGCAGAAUUCCAGGUGUAGCGGUGAAAUGCGUAGAUAUCUGGAGGAACACCGGUGGCGAAGGCGGGACUCUGGGCCGAUACUGACGCUGAGGAGCGAAAGCGUGGGGAGCAAACAGG